rnacentral:misc_RNA from 1 species
GAUGAAGAACGUAGCGAAAUGCGAUAAGUAAUGUGAAUUGCAGAAUUCAGAGAAUCAUCGAAUCUUUGAACGCACCUUGCGCUCCUUGGUAUUCCGAGGAGCAUGCCUGUUUGAGUGUCAUGAAAUUCUCAACCUUUCUGGCUUUUGCUAGUCAGGCUUGGAUUAUGGGAGCUGCUGGCUUUUGAAGUCGGCUCUUCUAAAAUGUAUUAGCAAGAUCAUUGCUGCUCAUCAUUGGUAUGAUAAUUAUCUAUAUCAUUGAGAGUCAGUUUCCUUUAUUGGAAGAUUUUGCUCCUAACGGUCUUUAGCAAGACAACAUUUGACGAUUUUGACCUCAAAUCAGGUAGGACUACCCGCUGAACUUAAGCAUAUCAAUAAGCGGAGGA